rnacentral:rRNA from 1 species
GACGAACGCUGGCGGCGUGCUUAACACAUGCAAGUCGAACGGUGAAGGGAUCAGCUUGCUGGUCCUGGAUGAGUGGCGAACGGGUGAGUAACACGUGAGUAACCUGCCCCCUUCUUCUGGAUAACCGCAUGAAAGUGUGGCUAAUACGGGAUAUUCUGGGUCUGUCGCAUGAUGGGUCUGGGAAAGAUAUUGUUUCGGUGGGGGAUGGGCUCGCGGCCUAUCAGCUUGUUGGUGGGGUGAUGGCCUGCCAAGGCGGUGACGGGUAGCCGGCCGGAGCGGGGGGUCGCUGAUAUGGGAGGUGGGACAGGGACAUGGCGACUACGGGACGCAGCAGUCUGGUACAGUACGCAGUGGUCGGGAGUCUGGCGCAGCGGCGGCGCGUGAGAGAUGGCCACGUUGGGUGUGUGAUCCUGGUUCGAGAGUGGUACAGGUCUGCUACUUGUGAGGGGGUUGACGGUACCUGGAGAAGAAGCGCCGGCUAACUACGUG